rnacentral:rRNA from 1 species
GAUGAACGCUGGCGGCGUGCCUAAUACAUGCAAGUAGAACGCUGAAGGAAGGAGCUUGCUCUUUCCGGAUGAGUUGCGAACGGGUGAGUAACGCGUAGGUAACCUGCCUGGUAGCGGGGGAUAACUAUUGGAAACGAUAGCUAAUACCGCAUAACAGUAGAUGUUGCAUGAUAUCUACUUAAAAGGUGCAAUUGCACCACUACCAGAUGGACCUGCGUUGUAUUAGCUAGUUGGGGAGGUAACGGCUCACCAAGGCGACGAUACAUAGCCGACCUGAGAGGGUGAUCGGCCACACUGGGACUGAGACACGGCCCAGACUCCUACGGGAGGCAGCAGUAGGGAAUCUUCGGCAAUGGACGGAAGUCUGACCGAGCAACGCCGCGUGAGUGAAGAAGGUUUUCGGAUCGUAAAGCUCUGUUGUAAGAGAAGAACGAGUGUGAGAGUGGAAAGUUCACACUGUGACGGUAUCUUACCAGAAAGGGACGGCUAACUACGUG